rnacentral:rRNA from 1 species
UACAGAGGGUGCGAGCGUUAAUCGGAAUUACUGGGCGUAAAGCGUGCGUAGACGGUUUCGUAAGUCGGGUGUGAAAUCCCCGGGCUCAACCUGGGAAUUGCAUUCGAAACUGCGAGGCUAGGGUACGGAAGAGGGAAGCGGAAUUUCUGGUGUAGCGGUGAAAUGCGUAGAUAUCAGAAGGAACAGCAGUGGCGAAAGCGGCUUCCUGGUCCAGUACCGACGUUCAGGCACGAAAGCGUGGGGAGCAAACAGG